AGCAGCCACGGUAAUACGAAGGGUGCAAGCGUUAAUCGGAAUUACUGGGCGUAGAGCGUGCGUAGGCGGUUUGUUAAGUUUGUUGUGAAAUCCCCGGGCUCAACCUGGGAAUGGCAAUGGAUACUGGCAAGCUAGAGUGUGUCAGAGGAUGGUGGAAUUCCCGGUGUAGCGGUGAAAUGCGUAGAGAUCGGGAGGAACAUCAGUGGCGAAGGCGGCCAUCUGGGACAACACUGACGCUGAGGCACGAAAGCGUGGGGAGCAAACAGGAUUAGAUACCCCCGUAGUCCCUGUCCUCUUAUAC
rnacentral:rRNA from 1 species